CACUCCUACGUUAAUUACACGAUUUUUAAUUAAUUUUUGAAAAUCGCAAAUCUCCCAUAAGAAUACAUGUAACGAAAAAUUAUAUCCUAGUUUCGUUGUAGUUCUGUUUCGACCGCUAGAUGGCGACUACUUUGCUGUCAAGUGCGAAUAUGAUUCUUGAUGAGUUGAUGAUAACGAUUUUCAUUUUCUUAUCAGUUAUCUCUCUUACAAUACAUAAUUUAUUUACUUUCAACUUUCAAGUUUUAAAUGGAGUGGAGCUGUCUAAAAUAUCGUUAUUGACUUAUAGCUCGCGAUUAUAAAUUCAAAUGAGUCGUUUAAAUAUAAGGUGUUUCACUUGCAUCGUUUAUUUCAUGUGUAAACAGUAUUGAAGGAAAGUUCUUCAGUUCAUGAGGUUACCCAGGUUACCCUAGAAACAAUUUCAUUCAGAAAAUUUAUCUCAGCAAAAAAUUAUGCCUUUGAAAGGAGUAAAAGUUAUAGAACUGGCGGGGCUCGCUCCUGGGCCAUUUUGUGGCAAAGUUCUGCUUGAUUUCGGAGCCUCGGUUAUCAAAGUGCAUAAAAUGGCUGAAUCGUUUCCAGAUGUACUGUCAAAUGGAAAAAAGUCAGUUGGUGUCAAUUUAAAGUCCAAAAAAGGCGCUGAAGUGUUUCGAAAAUUGUGUGGUUCUGCUGAUGUAUUAAUUGACCCAUUUAGAAAAGGUGUUUUGGAAAAACUUGGACUCGGACCCAACGAAUUGUUGCAGAAAAAUCCAAAAUUAGUUUGCGCUCGGUUAUCUGGAUUUGGGCAAAAUGGUCACUUUUCAUCUAUGGCUGGGCACGACAUAAAUUAUUUAGCUAUAACUGGGUUAUUAUCUAUGUACGGAUGGCGAGGAAAAUAUCCGAUACCGCCGAGUAAUUUCUCAGAAUUCGCCGGAGGCAGUUUAAUUUGUGUAUUAGGAAUUUUACUAGCUUUGUUUGAAAGAACUAAAACUGGCACAGGUCAAGUGAUAGAUAGUAACAUCACGGAAGGAAUUUCGUACGUUGGUUCUUGGCUGAUGAAAUCUAAAAAUACUUUUUUUACGGAAUCACGUGGAAAUAAUCUGCUAGACGGCGGUACUCAUUUUUACGACGUUUAUGAAACUAAAGAUGGAAAAUUCAUGGCUGUGGGAGCGUUAGAGCCACAAUUUUAUAACGAACUGAUCGUUAAAUUAGAUUUUAGUCCAGAAGAGCUGCCUCAAUUAGGAGAUUUUGAAGAGAGUAGGAUCAAACUUCAGAAUAAAUUCAAACAGAAAACGCAAGAAGAAUGGUGUGAAGUCUUUGAUUUAUCUGAUGCGUGUGUAACGCCCGUUUUGACGUUGGAAGAAGCAUCGAAACAUCAACAUAAUAGUGAUAGAAAAUCCUUUCUGAGAGACUGCGAUGGUGAUAUUAUGCCACUUCCAGCUCCUAGGUUGCAAAAAAAUCCGCCCAAAAUGGAUAAUUUUCAGUUACCUUCUCCUUUAGGAGAACAUACUAUCGAGGUUUUGUCCGAGUUAGGGUAUUCGAUUGAUCAACUUCGGCUAUUAGCCGCUAAUGGUGUUAUUUGGAAUCAAGAAAGAAGUAAAUAUUGAUUGUGGAUUCAUGAGAUUCAUCAUUAUUCAUUGUUAUUAAUUUUUUUUUUCUUAGUUCUGGAAAAUGAAGAAUAAAUGAUGUAUUCUUUGGAUCACAUUUCUGUGAAUGGAAAAAUUUGAUGCAACUAACUGUGAUGAAACCCGCGUCGUACGAGUAUGAUAUUUUUGUUUGCUUUUUUAAAAAAAUAAGGUUUUUAUUGGUAGGUAUGAAACUCGUUAUAUUAUAUUUUCUUUUUCAAACAAAACCAAAAGCCUUUAUUAUUCGUGAGUUAUUUUCUGAAACAUUUAGUUUUAUAUCAAUUUACAAAAUGCGGUCAGUUGAUUUGCUGUGAGUAACCAUUUCUUUUGAUGGAAAGCAACAUUUUUGAAAUCAAACCGAAUAUCACUGGUCUCAUUGAGUCUGCUGUUUUAGAGCUUUCUUAAUCCAACAUUUCGUAUUCGUAAUAUUUAAGACGAAUUUCCUAUUGUUAUCAACUUUUCAAUUGUUUUUUAAGAUCCUUUCUACUUUCUGUAAUUUAUGACUGUGCAGCCCUGCUCCGAAAAAUGCAAUUAGUAAAAUGGAAACAGUUGGAUCUAAUAUGAAGUCCCAGUUUCCUGGGACAUUGAGAGGUAAUUUGUGGUUCUCAAAAAUCUCAAAAUUUGUUUGUUUUUUUUAAAUUUUGGAUAAUCUAUUCAAAAAAUGUUGGGAGUAUUGUAAUGGUACAAAAAAUGAGAGAAGUGCACUAAGUGUAGACUUGAGACGUUAUUGUUCACGCGACAUUUAAAAAAAUACAAUUCAGUGAAUCAAUUGCAUUUGAAAUUAAUUCGUGUGAUUUACAUUCAAGUAAAUAAAUUAAAAUGAUAAUAGUAAUAGUAUAUUUGAAAUUUUUUAAUUUCAUUAUAAUGUUUAAAGAAUGAGCAGGAUUUUCUAAGAAAAAAAUAAAUAUAAAAUAGCCAAUAAAUUAAAAAAAAAAGACAAAACAUUUUACAUUUUAUACAAAACCGUACAAAAAAAUGAAUUUUAUGUACAUAAAAAUAUUCAGUUCUCAUGUAACAUAAUUGUUUUAAAAAAAUGUUUUUUUUUUAGUACAAAGUUUCUUGUAAAAUACUCGGAGGCUCCGAUAAAUACAUCAUCACCACAUAAUAUGUAUGUACCAGUACCUUAAGUCUAAAUACUGUCAUUUAUAAUAAUGGUUCCAUUCGUAUUUAUAGUUUCGGGGUAUGUAGAUUCAUCAAACAAUUUUCAUCGACUAGAUCAUUUUUUCAAUUAUUAUUCGCACUAGUUUUUUUAUUUUAUUUUUUAUUUUCACGAAAUAUUUCUUGUUGAUGUUUAAUUUCUGUUACGUUUUACGUUACAUUUGUACUCGUUUAAUAAAUUUUUUUUUUAAUA